GACAAAAGCUGGUGGGCUGGCCACGGUGUCACGAAUGAAGUCUCCAGUGGCUUCAUCAUAACAACCUUCAUUUCUUCCAGCAUGUGUGAGUGUCCAUUCGCUCUGCUGAAGAAAUAGUGAUGGGUGUGAUCAAGGAAUACUGCCCGAGAUGAGUGGUAUUAAGCAACACAGGAUGGAGAAAACUGAAGCUCGGAGAAAUAAGUGACUCACAGUUUGUAUAAGUUGAUAUUUGAAA